UACAGAGGUCUCAAGCGUUGUUCGGAUUCAUUGGGCGUAAAGGGUGCGUAGGCGGCGCGGUAAGUCGGGUGUGAAAUCUCGGAGCUUAACUCCGAAACUGCAUUCGAUACUGCCGUGCUUGAGGACUGGAGAGGAGACUGGAAUUUACGGUGUAGCGGUGAAAUGCUAGAUAUCGUAAGGAAGACCAGUGGCGAAGGCGGGUCUCUGGACAGGUUCCUGACGCUGAGGCACGAAGGUCAGGGGAGCAAACAGG
rnacentral:rRNA from 1 species